rnacentral:rRNA from 1 species
GACGUAGGGCGCGAGCGUUGUCCGGAUUUAUUGGGCGUAAAGAGCUCGUAGGCGGUCUGUCGCGUCGGAUGUGAAAACUCGGGGCUCAACCCCGGGCCUGCAUUCGAUACGGGCAGACUAGAGUACGGCAGGGGAGACUGGAAUUCCUGGUGUAGCGGUGAAAUGCGCAGAUAUCAGGAGGAACACCGGUGGCGAAGGCGGGUCUCUGGGCCGAAACUGACGCUGAGGAGCGAAAGCGUGGGGAGCAAACAGG